UACGUAGGGGGCUAGCGUUAUCCGGAAUUACUGGGCGUAAAGCGAGCGCAGGUGGUUUAUUAAGUCUGAUGUAAAAGGCAGUGGCUCAACCAUUGUAUGCAUUGGAAACUGGUAGACUUGAGUGCAGGAGAGGAGAGUGGAAUUCCAUGUGUAGCGGUGAAAUGCGUAGAUAUAUGGAGGAACACCGGUGGCGAAAGCGGCUCUCUGGCCUGUAACUGACACUGAGGCUCGAAAGCGUGGGGAGCAAACAGG
rnacentral:rRNA from 1 species